AGAGAAAGAAGAGAGGGAGAAGAAGAGAUAACAGAGAAUAGAGAAUAGAUAUGAGAAUUAGAGAAAGAGAACAUAAAAUAAGAGAAAAAAAUAUUCCUUUUUUAUCUUUAUUGAUGACCAAUUACACAAGUACAUUUCCUCUUUAUAGUGCAAUCCUAUAAAUAUUCUAGUAAAUCCCUAAUUGCUUAACUACUUCAAUUAUAUUUCCAACUCAAUCCCUUUUAUCAACUUAUGUGACACCUUUGUAGCCUUUCCUCCUAUUUUACUCUUUUUCUUUUUAUUCUCUUUCUUUCUAAAAACUUAACAACAUGGUACCAGAGUCUAUGGAAAAUUCUGGUGUUUCUCCAUUCUUAUUGUUCUCCUUCACAAAGCUAUGGGCUCGAGUCCAAAAGCUAUUUUCCUUCAUCUGAGUUUGAGUCCAAAGCUGUGGGUUUUUGUCCCAAGCUAUUCAUCAUCUUCUUCUCCUCCUUCAUGAUUUGAGAGCUAGGGUUGAAGUCCCUGCUCUUCUUCUCUUUCAUUAGAGCCAAGGGUUGAAGUCCCUACUAUGUACUUUUCCUUCACCUGAGCCGAGAAUUGAAGUCCUACUCUGUUUUUCUUCCAUAGAGCCAAGGAUUUGAAGUCCCUCCUCUAUUUCUUCUAUUUUUGUCCUCUAUUUCUCAAAAAAGAAAAACACCCAAAAAAAAGAAAGAUUUAAAAGUA
rnacentral:misc_RNA from 1 species